GACGAACGCUGGCGGCGUGCUUAACACAUGCAAGUCGAACGGAAAGGCCCUGCUGUUGUGGGGUGCUCGAGUGGCGAACGGGUGAGUAACACGGGAGUAACCGUCCCUUGACUUUGGGAUAACUUCAGGAAACUGGGGCUAAUACCGGAUAGGAGCUCCUGCUGCAUGGUGUGGGUUGGAAAGUUUCGGCGGUUGGGGAUGGACUCGCGGCUUAUCAGCUUGUUGGUGGGGUAGUGGCUUACCAAGGCUUUGACGGGUAGCCGGCCUGAGAGGGUGACAGGCCACAUUGGGACUCAGAUACGGGCCAGACUGCUACGGGAGGCAGGGGUGGAGAUUAUUGCACAAUGGGCCGAAGCCUGAUGCAGCAACGCCGCGUGCGAGAUGACGGUCUUAGGGUUGUAACCCGUUUUCGCCUGGGACGAAGAGUGAGUGACGGUAAUGUGUAAAGAAGCAACGGCUAACUACGUG
rnacentral:rRNA from 1 species